rnacentral:rRNA from 1 species
GAUUAUGGCUCAGGAUGAACGCUAGCGGCAGGCUUAACACAUGCAAGUCGAGGGGCAUCGGGAGUAGCAAUACUUGCCGGCGACCGGCGCAAGGGUGCGUAACGCGUGAGCAACAUGCCCGUAUCAGGGGGGAUAAUCCAUGGAAACGUGGUCUAAUACCCCAUAGUAAUUAUGUAAGGCAUCUUAUAUAAUUUAAAGCUUUGGUGGAUACGGAUUGGCUCGCGUGACAUUAGCUGGAUGGUAAGGUAACGGCUUACCAUGGCUACGAUGUCUAGGGGUUCUGAGAGGAAGGUCCCCCACACUGGAACUGAGACACGGUCCAGACUCCUACGGGAGGCAGCAGUGAGGAAUAUUGGACAAUGGAUGGAAAUCUGAUCCAGCCAUGCCGCGUGCAGGAAGACGGCCCUAUGGGUUGUAAACUGCUUUUGUAUGGGAGCAAUAAGGGCUACGUGUAGUCCGAUGAGAGUACCAUACGAAUAAGCACCGGCUAACUCCGUGCCAGCCGCAGC